rnacentral:rRNA from 1 species
UACAGAGGUCUCAAGCGUUGUUCGGAUUCAUUGGGCGUAAAGGGUGCGUAGGCGGUUCGGUAAGUCAGGUGUGAAAUCUCCACGCUCAACGUGGAGGCGCCACCUGAAACUGCCGUGACUCGAGUCCGGUAGGGGAGUGUGGAAUUCCCGGUGUAGCGGUGAAAUGCGCAGAUAUCGGGAGGAACACCAAUGGCGAAGGCAGCACUCUGGGCCGGUACUGACGCUGAGGAGCGAAAGCGUGGGGAGCGAACAGG